UCUCACCCCGCACGUAAAACAAACCUCAAUCUCGAUCUGUUUCAUCUCAGCCUCCAGCCCCGAGAGGAGCCGCCGCCGCCGCCGAGAGGAGACGCCCCAGCCCCGAGAGGACCCACCGCCGCCGCUGCCGCCGCCGAGAGGAGACGCCCCAGCCCCGAUAGGAUCCGCCGCCGCCGCCGCUGGGGAACGAGGUCGCCGCCGCCUCCCUCGCCCGCGGCCAUGAUGACCGAUCUGGCGUUGGCGCCGCAGAUCACCCUCUGGUCCAUGGCCUCGACUAGUUUGCUAUGAUCUGGCGACGGGGAUGCAAGGAGAAGCUGCUGCGGUUUCAAGGGGCCGUGAGGAUGCCCACCAUGAAGGCGUGUCUGGGAUGAUGGAGGUGAUAUCCGCCAGAUCCCCGUUGCCGUCGACUGGCGGCGGCCAACUUCUCCUCUUCCAUGGCGUCGUCGGGGCCUUCCCUUGCCAAGCGCAGCGGCUCCUUGGCUGGAUCACCGUCGCACACCUCACCGGCGUGGUCGGCAAAAUCUGCAUCUCGAUCCUCGCCACUCUCCAUCCUCUUGCAGGUUUAUAAAUUUCGAAAUAUAGUUGCAACUUCACGGAAUGGACGGCCCAAAUUAUGUUAGUGUCUAUAUGUUUACUUGGUGGUGGUCUAGCGUGAGUGACACCUGCAUCUGUAACUUACCCAUUGGAUGUUCUUCGAAAUCACCUGACAACACAGAAAACCACUAGGUAUUACAAGGGCAUCUUUCACACGUUGUCUACAAUUGGUAGAGAAGAGAAUGGUAGAGGAUUGUAUAAAGGCCUUUGGUCCACCUUAUUGGGAGUUGGACCUGAUAUAUCAAUCAACGUUUAUGUAUAUGAAUCCCUGAGGUCUCAUUGGAAAAUGGAAAGUUGAAUGUCAAACUGUGCGACCAAUGAUUUGAUAUGGUUAAUUCCAGUUGGGUGUGUUAACCUACAGUAAUCAAUCAAGUCAACAAAUAUAACAAUGAUACUUUGUCUUCUGAUUUUUGGUGAUGAUUUUUUUUGUGACGGAACUAACAGGAGUUGAAGCAUGUGUUCUUAUUUUUUUAUAUGACUAGAUGCAUAUGAACUGAAGCUCCAUAAUUUUCUUUUCAAGUCGACAUUGGUGGCAACCAAUACAAUUAGCGUUAUUUACAACCAAUGAAGUCUUAUAAUUUUCUUUCUUAGAAAUAUACAGUGACGCUGACUAUCAUUUAGUAGCUCUACAGGCACUAGCCAAAAACAAUAAUGUUUAUUUAUUUAACCACCAAAUAGAACAAUAGGUUAUUCUGCAUUAUGGGUACACAAAUCACAACACUAUAUUUCAGCUGUAGAAAUCUGUGUGGAUGCCUGCUGAUAUUUUAAGCCUACAUAUUGCCGAUUUGGUUUGAGUAAUGCUUGAAGCAUAAUUUACUCCCUAAUGUGCAAAUAGCAGUAUCAUUUUUUGUCAAGAAACUGAGAAGACGGAAGAGAGUUGGUGUUGUCAGUGUGGUGAGCCUAUGCGGCAACCACAAGGCUGAAGUCUGCUUUGAUCGUUGUUCAAGAUUUGAGCCUUGGCUCCGGUUUUGAUAGCUCUAUAUCAGUGAGUUUAGUCCAGUAACUAUUUUAAGUAUCUUUACUGUGCAUAGUUGCAUACAUUUUAUUCAUGGAUUAGUCUUGGUAAUAUUAACAUUUGAAAAGCAAUUUUUGUGUGACCAUUUUUUCAUCUUAGUAUCUCCAUCUACCAGCAAAAGUCAACGUGCACAAACCUGUAUUUAACAUGCAACAUGAGAUAGUGUGCAUCGAAACUAUGCUUAUGUUUGUGACAUUCAUGUUGCAUCUCAUGCAGAUAGAUUUUAUUAUCCAUUUAUGUAGCAUGCAAUGUUUAUUUUCUUCUUUUGGUCCAUAAUCCCUCCUCAAAGAAAUAUAAGAGUGUUUAGAUCACUAAAGAAGUGAUCUAAACGCUCUUAUAUUUCUUUACAUAUGGAGUACAUGUCAUGAUUGUUGGAUACACAUGCAUACUUUCAGUGAGUUUUUGUUCUCGGACUUGGGAUCCACAGUCCAAAGUUGAUUGGUGGAUCAAGUGAACUUGGUGCAUCUCCAUUCAAGCUGGAGUACAAUUACCAGCCUGCUUGUUUAGCGCAGUCUCCACAAUCAUACAAGCAAAUGAGCAUCUGGCGACCCAACACACAAAGUUUCUAUCUUCUUAUUUUCUAUACAAGUAGCAGCUGGCGCAGCGGUGGUGUUGAUGAACGACACCCAAUGCAGAGGCGGCAGUUACCAUAGGGAAGAGCUACUAGAGAGGGAGCGAGGAAGGGGGAGACAGAUCUUUCAGGUACAAUGGUAUGACAACCAUGUUCUGAACUAUCAAUGAGAUUUGGUGCUAAGUCAGCAUCGUGUUUUAUCCAAUCUAUCAAACACCAUAAGUUUCAUGUCGAAUGUGUUGUAGAAAUGUUCUUCCAUAAAUAUGGUUUUAGUCCUUCAUAUUUUAGUACCGUUGUAAAUUUAUCCAUCCACAUAUCACUCUGAGAAACAUUUUUAAUUGGCGGAAGGAAGAAUGGGAGAAAAGAAGAGUUCUUUGACGUAAAAAAAGAAGUCGUCAAUAUAGCCCGUUGCAACGCACGGGCGUUCUACUAGGAGAUGCAAGUGGAGUGGAAAAAUGAAAAUACAUUGCAUCAAAUAUAUUUUUUGAUUGUUACUGUAAUUUUUUUCUAUACAUGUGAAAUUGGAAAUGCAUUAUGCUUAUGUAUGCAAUCAGAAAAAAAUUUAAAAGGCCCGUGACAACGCACGGGCAUUGUACUAGGGAAACAAGUAUUGACAUUGUACUAUGGAAACAAAACGAAUAGACAUGCAGACUAAGCUCCAUAUCCAAGGGAUUUUGGUAGUACAUGCCAUGUUUAUGCUCACUGUUGAUUAGUUUGUAUAUAACUAUUUAUGCAAUACUUGGACCAUAGGAGCAAUUCAUUCUGUAUAUUUUGCUGGGGAUUGUGCCUUGCAGUCAAUUUAUAGAAGGGUAAGAUGUAUCGCAAUAUCUUUGACUUGCAUUCUCUGUGAUGUCAAGUAAGAAAAUAGAAUAUAUACUCUUUGAAUU